rfam:Agrilus planipennis Contig2812, whole genome shotgun sequence.
UCUCUCGUAGCUUAGUAGUCAAAGCAUUGGUGCGUAAAGCCAAAGGUCCCGGGUUCGAUUCCCGGCGAAGGUG